UGCAUUGUAUCUGUCCUAGUUAAACUGUUCUACUGUAAAGUGCUUGAUUUCGUGCCAGGGUCAUCUUGCUACCAAAGCAGGGUAGCCAUCUCCUCUACUGAGGAUGUUACCUAGACCGUCGUCAAUAGCCCAUGGUGCAGCUCUAGUGUGACGUAAAUAAAAUACCUACCUACUGAUCCUGUGGGACCGUUUGUCUUUGAGUACACAAGUCUGUUUAUCUGCGAAUAUAAAGAAAUAACUCGUUGCACUUACCUCAUGCUUGAGUGCUUAAAUUACAUUAAAGACUAAAUUCUUCAUGCAAAUUGGUUAGGGAAAGAUCAAAACCAGCUGAGAACAUUUCUGUAGCAUAGAAAGUAACAGGGAAAAAAGAAAAUCCUACAAUCAGUGCCUUAAUGGCCGACGGCAACAACAGCAAUUCUGAAGUAAAGGGAUAGCGAGUCGUACCAUCUUUUUCAUUUUUGUCUUUCACUUUUUCAUCUUUUUCAUCUGCUCUUCAAUUGAUAAGAGACAAUCUAUUCUUUGUAUUAAGCACAUGAACCUGUAUAUGCAUACAAAUCAAAUGUAUUUAUUAUUACACAUCCAGAAUUACUGUAGAAUUCGUACCAGCUACCUGAAUUUAAAAAAUAUGAACUGCUAGACUCCUGAAAAACGAAUGGUUUAAGAACAAUACUACUCUAAGUAUUUACUUGUAGUUAUAUUUUCAUAUGAAAACUUGAGUGCGCAUUACAAAGUAUGGCUUAUUAUAAAAACUUGCCAAGUGGAAGAAGAAAGAUCUUUCAAAUUAGGAAAAUUCAUUUCAAUUAUGCAUCGAUUGUAGUAUGGAGGUAAGGAGUUCAAAACCAACCGUAUCCGAGGAUACAGUAUAUGUUUGUGAUAUACGUCUGUAUCGUACUAUUGUGCUAUCUGUACUAUGACUUGGCGAGGACUUACAAAAUGAACUUUGUGAUGAGCACAUAAGUAUGAAAAUGCAGGUGUAGCAAUGAAUAAAUAAAUAUCAAUAGAUACUUCCAGGGUUGCGACGGGAUUCGAACUCGUUACUUCCUCACAAUAUUUUUAGGUUGUUGAGACAGAACCACAUUUUAUUCACAAUUAUACCAAAAAUUACUACUAAAGCGUUUCUGUAAAAAUUACCACACUUUUUUAUGCUCCCAUAGAGCCAGAAACACGGUAAAUUUUAGCAAAUUCUA